AGCUCAGUUGGUUAGAGCGCCCGGCUCAUAACCGGUAGGUCUGGGGUUCGAGUCCCUGA
rnacentral:tRNA from 1 species